CCCUUAGAUGUUCUGGGCUGCACACGUGCUACACUGGCAGGUUCAGCGAGCUUCAUGCCCUGAUCUGAAAGGAAUGGGAAAUCUUUUCAAAACCUGCCGUGCUUGGGAUAGAUGUUUGCAAUUAUUCAUCUUCAACGAGGAUUGCCUUGUAAGCGCACGUCAUCAGCGUGCAUUGAAUACGACCCGGUAUUCUGUACACACCGCCCGUCGCUCCUACCGAUUGAAGUUUUCGGUGAGUUGACAGGAGGAUUUUUUUGAAACUGGUUCGCCAGUGGAUUUUAGAUCCAAAUGCCAACGAAUCGAUGGCUUUAGAGGAAGGAGAAGUCGUAACA
rnacentral:rRNA from 1 species